rnacentral:lncRNA from 1 species
UAAGACAAACAGGCUUCCAAGGGAUCAUAAUAAUAAAAUAUAACAUAAAAGAUAAACGGACAUACUGGAACUACAGGCAAAAUAAACAAGCAUCAGGAAACGAAUCCAAGAGAAGACACAAGACACAGAAAUCCACUCAUUCACAUACUCAGGAGUCCCAUAAAAAGACGAAACCGGAAGCCGUGAUACCCACGCACGCAGAGGACUUGAUGCCGAGCCGCGCAGGCCCCGAGCAUGCUGCCUCAGUCUCUGUGAGUUCAUGGAAGCUUUGAGCCUGGAGAUUUAGAGGGCCUUGUUUCCUUGGUGUCUUCUAUCCCUCUCGCUCUCAGGAUUCCCUAAGGCCUGAAGGAGGGGACUUACAGGAGACAUCCCAUUUAGGGCUGAGUGUUCCCAGGUCUCUUGCUCUCUUGUAUAAUGUCUGCCUGUCGGUCUCUGUAUUUGUUCCCAUCUGCUGCAGGAGGAAGAUUUUCUGAUGAUGGUUGAAGGCACCGAUCUAAGAGUAUAGCAGAAUGUCAUUAACGGUCAUUUUAUUGCUCCCUGCCUUUGCUUAGAACAGUGUAGUAUUUGGGGCCACCCUAGGUCCCUGGGCUAUCUAAUCUCAGGUCACCCAUUUAGUGUAGAGUAUGGAUUCUAUCUUGUGGUGAGAGCCUUCAGUCAAAUCAGGUACUCGUUCCUCCUACAAGACCAGCACCAUCAUUGCCCUAGCACGUCUUGCAGGCAGGCAGGACACCAUCUCAUUGAAACCUUCAGAACAACUCACCUCCUUGUAGCUUCUCCAGUGGUCAGUGCCUCAUGGGGUCCCCUGUUGCCUUUGUUGUGACCCCUAGCUCAGUGCACUCUUGAAACUUACAGGCUUUGUCCAAGGCCAGGUGGACUAAUGUGACACAGGUGAGUCUGGAUCAAACCCUGUCCUUCCUUUGGAAUGUCCCCCCAGAACCCCAGCUGAUGAUAGCUUGAAAUGAGAGUCCAGGGUAGAAGCAAAUUCAUUUUGAGGUUCACUGUAAAAUAUAAUGACCGAUUUUUUUUAAAGCCUUGGACAUGAAGAUCUACGUUUCUUUCAUUGUCCAUCUGUAACUAACCUCCCUCUGUGGAAGAUGAAAUCUGAUAGAAAUGGAAAGUCAUAGAACAGAUGAGUAAAGAAUGCAGACUGUCUUAUUUCACUGUGUGCGCCCAACCCUGCAGUCCAGCUUGAAGCACAGUGGAGAGGCGAGGGGUUUCUAUUUUUCCAUCUACA